rnacentral:sRNA from 1 species
GACCUGGCUCGGGGUGGGAGUGCAGAGGCAACCAAAAAGGAACCCACACCUCCCUCCAGGGCCCGGGGCGCUGUCAGACGGGGCAGCAACCAGGAGAUUCCCUGGGCCUGCAGGAAGCCCUUCCGCGGACCGAAAGAUUAUUCCCCAUUUUGGAGAUGAAGAAACUGAGACUCAAAGCAGCUGAGUGACCUUCCCAAGGACACACACUGACCUGCCCUCUGGGGUGGAAGCUGCCAUCCAAAGCCUGGCAAAUCUGAAGUCCACCACACUGAACAUUCCACAGAGACUGGGCAGUGAUCAGGAUCUGAAUGCACAGGGCGGGUGUUCAGCGAUUGUUUACUACGUUGAACGUGACCUCCAGGAAAGCAGUUCUGGCCGAGAUCCCCUGACAACGCAAAGCAAGAAGUAACGUGGAAGGAGGCUCCCCAAGCUGGCUGGCCAUUUUGCUGCUGUGUGUGGAGGUGCUGUCAGUGGCAUGCCCAAACCCAAAGCUGGAAGAGGAAUAAAUUACAAGUGGUCAAGGUUGCAUCCUUUUGAGCCCAGGACCUGCUUGUAAGCCGAGAGGGUUCUCUGGCCCUAAU